CUCGUGUUUCAGUCUCCUGAGCAGCUGGGAUUACAGGCGUGCAUCACCACGCCUGGCUAAUUUUUGUAUUUUAGAAGAGAUAGGGUUUUACCAUGUUGGCCAGGCUGGUCUCAAACUCCUGGCCUCAAGUGACUUGCCUGCCUUGGCCCCCCAAACUGCUGGGAUUACAGGCAUGAGCCACUGCACCUGGCCGGGCUGAUGGUUUUUAAGAAGUAGGUGAGGCUUCUUCAUUCUCUCUUAUACCAUUUACUUCAGAGGACUCCGCGGCCCGAGAAAGCAGUUGAUUUAGAAGAAGGAAAGACCCUGCCCUGCAGAAUCAUUAUGGAAGCUACUGAGUGACAAGGCAUCCCUGCAUUGGUCCUUUAUAUGACAAGGUUCUGAAAAAAGAGGACAGCACCUCCUAUGAAGAGCAUGGAGACCCUAACGAGAUGCAGCCACCUCUGGUGAUACGUUAUUGUCAAGAACCUGGACACCGGCUGAAGUCAGGGUCCCACCAGCAUUUGGGGACCUCCCCCAGCCCAUUCAUAUCAUUGGCACCAUGUUCUUGGACUUCUCAGCCUCUGGAUUGGGUCAACUGUCAGCACCAGAAGAAGAGGAACCAGCAUGCAUCAGCAACCAGGACCUAGGAGUGCUAAGUGGAGAGCUUGAGGACAGAAUAGAGAGGGAGCCUAUCAGGCUGAGCUGCCUCUUGGCUCUUCCCUUCAAAUCACUUGAAGUGUCAAGAUUGGUGAGGAUUAGACUCCUUUGGGUUAAUCCCUAAUGUUGUUGACAUAGUUACAAGUAACUGUCAAAAUUUACAUUUCACAUGAAUCAUUAAAUAAAACUUACAGGAGGCCAUUGUUUUUGACUGAGCUCCUGCACUAGGCCCCAACAGACCAAACCAAAAUGGAGUCACUUGUGUUAAGUGCCACAUAAUCAAAACGUAAAGGAAGAAGAAAAAUCCCUAAAUAGACCAACUUUUCUAAAAACAAGAGAUUCACAGCAACAAAUUGGAAAGGGCCCAGUCAACCUGAGCAUGAUAAGAAAGUUUCUUCUGCUUUAAUUCUUAUAAGCAAAGUAACCUGAUGUUAACCAAGUCACUUUUUUUGGUAUUAUUCUGUUUCAUUGUUCCUGCUCAAGCUACCUUACAAAAACCAAUGGUUCUGCUAUGCCCAAGGAAGCUCUCUUUAUUUUUAGAUGGGAUGCUGCCCAAUUUAUGAAUAGCCAAUAAAAGCCCAUUAGAUUUUUUAUUACAUUUGUUGAAAUUUUGUUUUCCAACAGAGUAAAUUUUUAGGUUUUAUUUUACACAACUGGCUCAAAUAUUUUAUAAGAUGUUCACCAAAAGAGAAAUUUGUUUAAUUUAAUUUUAUUUUUUUUCCUUGAGAUGGAGUCUUGCUCUGUCACCCAGGCUGGAAUGCAAUGGCUCAAUCUCAGCUCAUUGCAACCUCCGUCUCCUGGGUUCAAGUGAUUCACCUGUCUCAGCC
rnacentral:lncRNA from 10 species